UUAAUUCCCUUCUGCGUAACCUAAACUUCAAUUCCUCCCAUAGAGCAUUCCCGAAUCCGGAGGUCGCACGCCUCACGCUUUGGUGAGGACAUCAACGGCCGACCCGCUACCCUAUGCGUGGAGGCGACGACGCCCCGGCCGCCUCGCGCGGCGGCUCCGAGGUCGCCUCCCUCAACCACGGGGACGCCCGCAGCUGCCUCACACGGGGCAAGUAACGUACAUUGUUCUCUGAUGCAAAUCCUAAUUAGGGUUUUGAUCGAUUCUAAAUCAUUCUUCUAUCGCCGGCUUUCCUCUAGUCUAUUGCAUCGUCAGUGAUUUACAUCCACUCGCCAUCACAAUGAUGGGAGAGGCAAGAUGCCGACAAUAGAAACGACAUUGGGUCGAAGCGGAAUAAAGGUAAAUAUAUUUGCCCAUCUCCAAAAUGCGAGUGAAGCAAUUAGAACUUAUAUUAGAGAUGGACUUGCUCAGAUGAAGAAGAAUGUAGCAGCUGGAAGGACACCUUCCCCGUCUUCCCAUGGAUUGGCAACUAUUUCAUCUCAAGUUUGAACCGCUUUCUCUUGUACACACAAAGUCAGUUAAUGCAAAAGUUGAAAGCAUAUAUCCAAGUACAUACAUAGAUGAUGGUGUUGCUCGAACAACUACAUUAAGAAGUCAAAUUGAUUUGACCUUUCAGAGUUUAGGUCUCAUUUAGGUGAUGAGCAAACGGAGUUAUAAUGAAGGAGGAUUUGGUCUCCGUGAGCAUCGUGAUAGAAGAAAUAAAGAUUAAAUUACUUAUGGUGAGAUUUGAAAAUUUAUUAAUUAUUUAUAGUUUGAUUAAUAGUUAAAUUUAUUUGGAUGAUGUAAAUAUUUAUUUAUCUCGAUG